rnacentral:rRNA from 1 species
UUAUCUGAACCUUCGGGGACGAUAACGGCGUCGAGCGGCGGACGGGUGAGUAAUGCCUAGGAAAUUGCCCUGAUGUGGGGGAUAACCAUUGGAAACGAUGGCUAAUACCGCAUAAUGCCUACGGGCCAAAGAGGGGGACCUUCGGGCCUCUCGCGUCAGGAUAUGCCUAGGUGGGAUUAGCUAGUUGGUGAGGUAAUGGCUCACCAAGGCGACGAUCCCUAGCUGGUCUGAGAGGAUGAUCAGCCACACUGGAACUGAGACACGGUCCAGACUCCUACGGGAGGCAGCAGUGGGGAAUAUUGCACAAUGGGCGCAAGCCUGAUGCAGCCAUGCCGCGUGUGUGAAGAAAGCCUUCGGGUUGUAAAGCAGUUUCAGUCGUGAGGAAGGUAGUGUAGUUAAUAGCUGCAUUAUUUGACGUUA